rnacentral:lncRNA from 1 species
UUGUAAAACCCAUUCAAAGUAUUGCAGAAGGAAUGACCAUGAAGAGCUAUAUUUGAAGAUAUCAUCGAAAAAUACUAGAAUAAAUUUUCUCAAUGCACUUUGGAAAAUUUUAUUCAUAUCCAUUGGUGAGCUCAACUAAAUAAACUAUCUGAGGACACUUCUGAACUUACACUGUACACCCUGUUUGCUAGUUUGUUAAACUCUUACAAUAUUCACCAA